UACGGGGGGAGCAAGCGUUGUUCGGAUUUACUGGGCGUAAAGGGCGCGUAGGCGGCCACCGAAAGUCGGUUGUGAAAUCUCUGGGCUUAACCCAGAAAGGUCAACCGAUACUGCGGGGCUAGAGUGCAGAAGGGGCAACUGGAAUUCUCGGUGUAGCGGUGAAAUGCGUAGAUAUCGAGAGGAACACCUGCGGCGAAGGCGGGUUGCUGGGCUGACACUGACGCUGAAGCGCGAAAGCUAGGGGAGCGAACGGG
rnacentral:rRNA from 1 species